ACUUCCUCCUCUGAUAUGAGACUUUUCUCAUCACUGUGGCAUUUCCCUGGUGAGGAUACCCCUAAGGUGCUGCCAUUUAUCAGGCAUCUCCCUCCUCUUCUUCACAAACAAUGCCUCUCAGUGUCACCUAUGCAGCAAAUAUAUCACUACGUACCAGCCUUUUGAUGGGAUCAGAGGAAAGAGAAACAAGACCACAAACAUUGACCAGACAAAAUAACCAUCUAGAAAUUUCUU